UCAAUGGCCGAAUUCUCUACUUCUCUCUCACCGAUCUGGUCAGAGUUCUAUUAAUUCGUGAUUUUCUUCUCUCCUCUGUAAUUAAUGCUUGAUUGUUCUUUUUUUUUUUUUGGUAUUCUCUGGAUCUGAUUUCUUUUUGUUUUUGUUUUUGGUGCUUAAUGUUUUUUUUUAAUUAAAUUUUUUGUUUGCUGUAAUUUGUGCUGAUUCUGUUGGAUUUUUGAGGCUGCAAUUGAUCUCAUCCACACUCACCGCAGCCCCUUCAUUGGAGAGCAUGGGUGGAAUGAGUGCUCUAACUGCAGUUGACGUUCCUACACUGCUUGGAACUAGUCCCUUUUCACUUGUGGGUUCUGACAGGAAUGAAGAAAACAAGCAAGUCAAUCCUGUGCCUGCAUACUUGCGUUGGCUUCUGAAAAGAAUGACAGACUUUUCUAACUUUUCUUUUUAUUCAAUGAAUCACAUAUACACUGUACAAGAUAUUAUAUAGGAAAAUAUCUAACUAACUCAGUAACUAACUAACCAACUCAGUAACUAAUGCAGUAACUAACUCAGCUAACAAACACUCUAACCAUCUAACAAACAUUACAACUGUAGCUAUGUUUGUUACAGAUAUUUUCUGAAGAGCAUUUAGGAAAACAAAACUAUGAUGAACAAGCUAUCAAUGCUGACUUCUUCUGCAGUGAUGGCUCUGCCUCUAGCUGUGAAUCUGUGGUUGCUGCAGCUGGGGUGACAUUACUGACUUGGCUGUAAGUUCAAACAAUGCUUUGGUGGCAUCUGCUUCAAAUGACUACAGCAUUCAAGUUUGGCGCUUGCCAGAUGGAUUUCCUAUUUCAGUUUUGCGUGGACAUAUAGGAGCUGUUACUGCCAUUGCAUUUAGUCCCCGGCCUAGCUCUAUGUACCAGUUGUUAUCGUACCUCCAUUUUUAGUUCGCAAGGUGUUCACACAAAUAUUUUCAUUCAUCAAUGUUCAACUAUUUAACAGCCUUCUAUUAAGGAGAGAAUGUUGUUCAUUCAGUAACGGUGAAUAUGUUAAAGCAGGACUCGCUGAACUCGAACAUUGGUGUUAUAAUGCAACAGAUGAGUAUGCAGGUUCAGCUUGGGAUGAGCUCAAGCAUAUCAGACAGGUUAUAGGGUUUUUGAUUCAAGGAUUAUAUCCAUGCAAAGUAUCAUUCCUUAUAUGAGCAGUACCUUAAAAGAAGUGACAACGCAGUCGCCAUGUGAAGUUGGCUGUACAAAAGGUGAUGAUGCUGGUCUUUCAAAUGCGCACAUGAUUAUGGCAGAGAUUCCAAAUGCUUCAGAAGCGGUGGUAUAGGUGCAUGACUUGGGGUGAAAAAAUAAAUUUCUAGCAGUAUGGUGGUUCUUGCUUUAUGUAGGAAGGGUAAUAUUUGAUGUGUAUUAUUAAUACUCUGUUCAACUCUGGAAAUUUGGAGACAUUGAUUAGAAAAUCUGGACAUGAAUGCUUGAUGCUUUGUGUCUAACCCAAUGAAUAUGAAGGCAUAAUUAUUUCUUGGCUAAACACAACUUUUAAGGUCGUAAUCUGACCCAAUGACAAAUGUUAUCUGUCCUAAUUUAUGGUAUUGAUUUGAGUAGUGGAAAUCAUUAUAACUUCUUCCCAACCCUAUUUGCCUUAGGCACUAUUACUUUUUAUUAUUCAACUGUUAAUUUCACUUUUA